ensembl:lncRNA
CAACCAUCUCAUCCUCUGUUGUCCUCUUCUCCACUUGUCCUCAGUCUUUCCCAGCCUCAGGGUCUUUUCCAAUGAGUCCUGGAAAAACCGCGAGUGAGUUUGAAAGCUCCCCAUGGAGGAAGCCCUUUCUGAAGCAGCACUUUUGUGGUCCGCAUUCCCAUGAAGCUGCCCGAGAAGGAGGUGCCUUGGUGCCGAUCGCUGGAGGCUGGGUUGAGCCCGACGACGCGGUCCAUCCCGGUCCUUGUGAGCCUUUGUUCCUCUGCAGCGAGAGAUUGCUACAGCCUAGGCUUUGACUCACUCAAGCUCAUCUCCUUCCCCUGUGUCUCCAGGCUCUUUCUUCUUGGAGCCUCAGCCUUGACUGGGAGCCUGGAGUUCUGCUGACGACUGCGUCUUUAUGCCUUUGAGGCCCCAAGGCUGGGGAAUUUCCUCAUAUAUCAUGCUUGCUUGUUAAAUGAAUGGAUGGAUGGAUUAGUAGAUGAAUGUCCAAGUGGAUGGAUGAUGGAUCAGUGGGUGGAUGGUUGGGUGAAUGAAUAGAUAGAUGCGUGGUGAAUGGAUAUGUAGAUGGAUGGAUGGCAAAUGGACAGAUGGGUGGAUGGAUGGUUAGAUGGAUUUGUGGAUGGAUGUGUAAGUGAAUGGAUGAUGAAUGGAUGGAUGGAUGAAUGGUUGGAUAAAUAGAUGAAUGGAUGAUGAGUGGUUGGGUGGGUGGAUGGAUGGUUAGAUGGAUUUGUGGAUGGGUGCAUAAGUUAAUGGAUGAUGAAUGGAUACAUGGAUGAAUGAACAGAUGGAUAAAUAGAUGAAUGGAUGGUGAGUAGCUGGGUGGGUGGAUGGAUGGAUGGUUAGAUGCUUAGAUGGGUUUGUGGAUGGAUGCAUAAGUGAAUGGAUGAAUGAAUGGAUGGAUAAAUAGAUGAAUGGAUGGUGAGUAGCUGGGUGGGUGGAUGGAUGGUUAGAUGCUUAGAUGGGUUUGUGGAUGAAUGCAUAAGUGAGUGGAUGAAUGAAUGGAUGGAUAAAUAGAUGAAUGGAUGGUGAGUGGUUGGGUAGGUGGAUGGAUGGAUGGUUAGAGGCUUAGAUGGAUUUGUGGAUGGGUGCGUAAGUGAAUGGAUGAGGAAUGAAUGGAUAAAUAGAUGAGUGGAUGGCGAGUGGUUGGGUGUGUGGAUGGUGGCUCAUUCCAAUGGCACAAGCCUCUCGCCUCAUUUUCCAAAGUUUUCCUCUCUGAGGUUUUCACCAGGCUCCAUCCGCCUUGAACAGGCAGCUGGCCAUGUCACCUUGGCAGUCUGGGCCAUUCGUCUGCUUGAAUAGCUGUUCGGACCCAUGGAGUCUCCAGCUGGCCUUGUUGAUCCCUUGCUGUACUUCCAGAUUCACUAACAUUUGGGUCUCGGGGUCUAGCUUGGCCAACAGUACCCUGCCCAGCCCUCAUUAAUGAGGCCACAGUGCAACCAUCCACCACAGCAGCUCAAAUACUGACAUAUUUGGAGUCUUUGAUUUUCUGUUGUGCCUCCAUGGGUCCCAUGGGCAAGGGAAAACUUCAGUCCCCUAUAGCCAUGUCUGAUCUGAGCAACCAUAUCUAAUCUAAGCAACCACAUUUGAUCUGAGCAACCGUGUCUGAUCUGAGCAGC